UACGUAGGGUCCGAGCGUUGUCCGGAAUUACUGGGCGUAAAGAGCUCGUAGGUGGUUUGUCGCGUUGUUCGUGAAAACUCACAGCUCAACUGUGGGCGUGCGGGCGAUACGGGCAGACUAGAGUACUGCAGGGGAGACUGGAAUUCUUGGUGUAGCGGUGAAAUGCGUAGAUAUCAAGAGGAACACCUGAGGUGAAGACGGGUUGCUGGGCUGACACUGACGCUGAGGCGCGAAAGCCAGGGGAGCAAACGGG
rnacentral:rRNA from 1 species